AACGAACGCUGGCGGCAGGCCUAACACAUGCAAGUCGAGCGAAGCCUUCGGGCUUAGCGGCGGACGGGUGAGUAACGCGUGGGAACGUGCCCUUUGGUACGGAAUAGCCCCGGGAAACUGGGAGGAAUACCGUAUGUGGUCGAGAGACGAAAGAUUUAUCGCCAAAGGAUCGGCUCGCGUUGGAUUAGGUAGUUGGUGGGGUAAUGGCUUACCAAGCCGACGAUCCAUAACUGGUUUGAGAGGAUGAUCAGCCACACUGGGACUGAGACACGGCCCAGACUCCUACGGGAGGCAGCAGUGGGGAAUCUUAGACAAUGGGGGAAACCCUGAUCUAGCCAUGCCGCGUGAUCGAUGAAGGCCUUAGGGUUGUAAAGAUCUUUCAGUGGGGAAGAUAAUGACUGUACCCACAGAAGAAGCCCCGGCUAACUCCGUGCCAGCCGCCGCAGUAAUAC
rnacentral:rRNA from 1 species